rnacentral:lncRNA from 11 species
CUUUGUUUUGAAUGAUUUUCAUUUAAUGCAUCUUAAAUUUUGCUUAUUAUUCAUUUAAAGGAAGUUCUUCAAACCAGGAGAUCAUGGGGAGGAAAAUCAAUAGUCAGGAAAGGUCGGUUCCCUUUUGAAUACUGAAAACCUCUUGCCUCAUAUAGGCUCCAAACAUCUGGUCAUCCAAUUAAAGGCGACAUGCCAGACCUACACUCUCAAAAUCAGCAGUAGAACACCCAUAUCAUUGCCACAGUUGAAGGCUCAACCGCUAGUUCAACUAACUUCUCUAAAUAACAUAGAUGCAAAGAGAUGCUUCUGCAAGACAAUUUGUUUGACAUCCUCUUCAGAUGUCUUGAAAUUUUAACACAAACCUUUAUCUGAGUGUCUCAUUUCUUAUGGAUCUCACUGUAGAUUUUGGUUCAUGCACAGACUCCAUUAAAAGUUAAGUGCUAUUUGGGAUU